GACGAACGCUGGCGGCGUGCUUAACACAUGCAAGUCGAACGGAAAGGCCCUGCUUUUGUGGGGUGCUCGAGUGGCGAACGGGUGAGUAACACGUGAGUAACCUGCCCUUGACUUUGGGAUAACUUCAGGAAACUGGGGCUAAUACCGGAUAGGAGCUCCUGCUGCAUGGUGGGGGUUGGAAAGUUUCGGCGGUUGGGGAUGGACUCGCGGCUUAUCAGCUUGUUGGUGGGGUAGUGGCUUACCAAGGCUUUGACGGGUAGCCGGCCUGAGAGGGUGACCGGCCGCUUUGGGGCGUAGCUCCCGCGGAGGCUCCCCCGGGCGGCAGGGGUGGGAAAUAUUGCACAGUGGGCGGGGGGCGGAGGCAGCAGCGCCGAUUGCGGGAGGGGGGCCUGCGGGUUGCAAAACCCUUCCGCCUGGGACGAAGGGUGGGGGGCGGUAAGGGGUAAAGAACCCCCGGAAACCUUGG
rnacentral:rRNA from 1 species